rnacentral:misc_RNA from 1 species
GCUGACUACCGGCGCCGUGUCUUGUCGUUCGUGUGGCUUAUGUUACUGUUGCCUUGAAGUGCUUGCGUGCUGGUACCCGACCUGCGGGAAGUGGUGCUUCAUACACGRUUGCCUCGCGGUGGACGCCUUCGGGUGUGCUGCUGCGGCCAAAUGGCGCUUGUGGCGUUGCCUCGUGGUAYCGGCACGUUUUCGUGCAUGGUGCUAUCAGGGCAGCCUYGCUCCCGCUGUUGGUUUCGGAUGUCGCUCACGAUAAAAGCUCAUGGCCCUUUUGGUUGCCUAGAACUGACCCUAAAUAUGCCUUCCUCGUUGAGAACGACGKUGUUCCUCAACUCGUAGGUGGAUAUUGGCCCGCUCAAUUGYGACAACUGGCACGRCGGUUGCCUCUGCCUUUCCACGGAAGUGGACGGGCGAACAACUGUCGGCGCUGGACGUCAAAGAGGACGUGCUACCUGGUUGAUCCUGCCAGUAGU